rnacentral:rRNA from 1 species
UACGUAGGGGGCUAGCGUUGUCCGGAUUUAUUGGGCGUAAAGAGCUCGUAGGCGGCUUGUCACGUCGGGUGUGAAAGCCCGGGGCUUAACCCCGGGUCUGCAUUCGAUACGGGCUAGCUAGAGUGUGGUAGGGGAGAUCGGAAUUCCUGGUGUAGCGGUGAAAUGCGUAGAUAUCAGGAGGAACACCGGUGGCGAAGGCGGCCCUCUGGACGGAUACUGACGCUGAGGCGCGAAAGCGUGGGGAUCAAACAGG